GACGAACGCUGGCGGCGUGCCUAAUACAUGCAAGUUGAGCGAUGAAGAUUGGUGCUUGCACCAAUUUGAAGAGCAGCGAACGGGUGAGUAACGCGUGGGGAAUCUGCCUUUGAGCGGGGGACAACAUUUGGAAACGAAUGCUAAUACCGCAUAACAACUUUAAACAUAAGUUUUAAGUUUGAAAGAUGCAAUUGCAUCACUCAAAGAUGAUCCCGCGUUGUAUUAGCUAGUUGGUGAGGUAAAGGCUCACCAAGGCGAUGAUACAUAGCCGACCUGAGAGGGUGAUCGGCCACAUUGGGACUGAGACACGGCCCAAACUCCUACGGGAGGCAGCAGUAGGGAAUCUUCGGCAAUGGACGAAAGUCUGGCCGAGCAACGCCGCGUGAGUGAAGAAGGUUUUCGGAUCGUAAAACUCGGUUGGUAGAGAAGAACGUUGGUGAGAGUGGAAAGCUCAUCAAGUGACGGUAACUACCCAGAAAGGGACGGCUAACUACGUG
rnacentral:rRNA from 1 species